GGGGUUGUGGCUUAGUGGUAGAACGCUUGCCUAGCAUGCAUGAGGCACUGAGUUCGAUCCUCAGCACCA
rnacentral:tRNA from 1 species